GAUGAAGAACGUAGUGAAAUGCGAUAAGUAAUGUGAAUUGCAGAAUUCAGUGAAUCAUCGAAUCUUUGAACGCACAUUGCGCCCGCCAGUAUUCUGGCGGGCAUGCCUGUCUGAGCGUCAUUUCAACCCUCAUGCCCCUAGGGCGUGGUGUUGGGGAUCGGCCAAAGCCCGCGAGGGACGGCCGGCCCCUAAAUCUAGUGGCGGACCCGUCGUGGCCUCCUCUGCGAAGUAGUGAUAUUCCGCAUCGGAGAGCGAUGAGCCCCUGCCGUUAAACCCCCAACUUUCCAAGGUUGACCUCAGAUCAGGUAGUAAUACCCGCUGAACUUAAGCAUAUCAAUAAGCGGAGGA
rnacentral:misc_RNA from 1 species